rnacentral:lncRNA from 1 species
GGACAUUAUACAUGUGAGUGAAUGUUUUUAAUUUAAAUGAAAUUUUAUGGCCCGAUUUUACGAAAUUGUGUACGUUUAAGUCCGGUAACGCUUCGAACCCUGUCUUGACGUCAGAUACGAGUAAGAGGUGUUACAAUUGCGUUUGUUGUUAGAGAAAGAUGCAGUGUUUGAUUUUAACAAAGCAUGUUUAGAAGCUUUUGAAGAGUUGAAAAAACGGUUAAUCUCAACCCCAAUAAUCAUUACACCCGAUUGGAGCACACCUUUUGAAUUGAUGUGCGAUGCAAAU